rnacentral:rRNA from 1 species
AUGAACGCUGGCGGCGUGCCUAAUACCUGCAAGUCGAGCGAACAGACGAGGAGCUUGCUCCUCUGACGUUAGCGGCGGACGGGUGAGUAACACGUGGAUAACCUACCUAUAAGACUGGGAUAACUUCGGGAAACCGGAGCUAAUACCGGAUAAUAUAUUGAACCGCAUGGUUCAACAGUGAAAGACGGUUUUGCUGUCACUUAUAGAUGGAUCCGCGCCGCAUUAGCUAGUUGGUAAGGUAACGGCUUACCAAGGCAACGAUGCGUAGCCGACCUGAGAGGGUGAUCGGCCACACUGGAACUGAGACACGGUCCAGACUCCUACGGGAGGCAGCAGUAGGGAAUCUUCCGCAAUGGGCGAAAGCCUGACGGAGCAACGCCGCGUGAGUGAUGAAGGUCUUCGGAUCGUAAAACUCUGUUAUUAGGGAAGAACAAAUGUGUAAGUAACUAUGCACGUCUUGACGGUACCUAAUCAGAAAGCCACGGCUAACUACGUG